rnacentral:rRNA from 1 species
CCCUAUGGGGUGCAGCAGGCAGUACAAUUACUCCCUUUUUAUUAAGAGAAAUGGGAUGUGAAGUUAUCACACUAAAUUCUCAGCUUGAUGGUCAUUUCCCAGCACGCAAUCCAGAGCCAACUGAAGAAAAUCUCUGGAUGCUUAAAAAAGCUGUAAAAGAUUUUGAUGCACGUUUAGGAAUUGCUCAUGAUGGUGAUGCAGACCGUAUGAUGGCUGUAGAUGAAAAUGGAGAGUACGUGUCAGGUGAUGAAAUGCUUGCUAUUUUUGCAUUAAGAGAAUGCAAAGAUUCGACAAAAAUAGUAGUGCCUGUGGAUACUUCAAUGAUGGUAGAUGAUUCGCUACCUCUUUCAGAAGUGGUACAUACACGUGUGGGUGAUGUGUAUGUUGCAGAAGAGCUAAAGAAAGUAGGUGCUCAAUUUGGGGGAGAGC